CACACCGGUCCUCAUAAGAUCUCCAAAGUUAAGCAGCAUCGAGCCUGGUCAGCACGUAGAUGGCUGACCGCCUGGGAAUACCACGUGCUGUAA